AACGUAGGAGCCAAGCGUUAUCCGAAUUCACUGGGCGUAAAGCGCGUGCAGGCGGCAUGAUAAGUUGGAUGUGAAAUCUCCUGGCUCAACUGGGAGGGGACGUUCAAUACUGUCAAGCUAGAGGACGGCAGAGGGAGGUGGAAUUCCCGGUGUAGUGGUGAAAUGCGUAGAUAUCGGGAGGAACACCAGUGGCGAAAGCGGCCUUCUGGGCCGAUCCUGACGCUCAGACGCGAAAGCUAGGGGAGCGAACGGG
rnacentral:rRNA from 2 species